rnacentral:rRNA from 1 species
UCAGGAAANUCUGGAGUAAAAGGCUAUGGCUCAACCAUAGUGUGCUNUGGAAACUGUCUGACUUGAGUGCAGAAGGGGAGAGUGGAAUUCCAUGUGUAGCGGUGAAAUGCGUAGAUAUAUGGAGGAACACCNGUGGCGAAAGCGGCUCUCUGGUCUGUCACUGACGCUGAGGCUCGAAAGCGUGGGUAGCGAACAGGAUUAGAUACCCUGGUAGUNCACGCCGUAAACGAUGAGUGCUAGGUGUUAGGCCCUUUCCGGGGCUUAGUGCCGGAGCUAACGCAAUAAGCACUCCGCCUGGGGAGUACGACCGCAAGGUUGAAACUCAAAGGAAUUGACGGGGGCCCGCACAAGCGGUGGAGCAUGUGGUUUAAUUCGAAGCAACGCGAAGAACCUUACCAGGUCUUGACAUCCCGAUGCUAUUCUUAGAGAUAGGAAGUUACUUCGGUACAUCGGAGACAGGUGGUGCAUGGUUGUCGUCAGCUCGUGUCGUGAGAUGUUGGGUUAAGUCCCGCAACGAGCGCAACCCUUAUUGUUAGUUGCCAUCAUUAAGUUGGGCACUCUAGCGAGACUGCCGGUAAUAAACCGGAGGAAGGUGGGGAUGACGUCAAAUCAUCAUGCCCCUUAUGACCUGGGCUACACACGUGCUACAAUGGUCGGUACAACGAGUUGCGAGCCGGUGACGGCAAGCUAAUCUCUGAAAGCCGAUCUCAGUUCGGAUUGGAGGCUGCAACUCGCCUCCAUGAAGUCGGAAUCGCUAGUAAUCGCGGAUCAGCACGCCGCGGUGAAUACGUUCCCGGGCCUUGUACACACCGCCCGUCACACCACGAGAGUUCGUAACACCCGAAGUCGGUGAGGUAACCUUUUAGGGGCCAGCCGCC